GCUCCAGUGCGAUGGAAGAGCGCUGCCCUGAAGACCUGGGAACGCCCAGGUUUAUCCAGUUUCUGCCUCUUACUGUGUGAUAUGGGAAAAGUCACUUCUUCCUGGCGUUGGUGCCCUCUUUGGUGAAGUGUAAAACCCUGUUCCUUGGACUAGGACUCAUUUUCCUUCCUGCCCUCAAUUUUGAGAUUCUGCCUGGACCCUGGCAAGAAAGAACAGCGAUGCCCGGAGUUACCCAGGAGUAAAGACACUGCUCGGUUCUGGCCCAGGACCAUAUUUUGCGUAAAGAAGAAAACUGGCCUGGAAGCAGGAAAAAAUGGGUCUGGCCCCACCUUGGAUGCUUAUUCAGCAUGAACUUGGACAAAUCAUUUCAUUUCUUUACUCAACAGAAAAAUGACGGUAUUGAUCUUCAGACAUUUUGUGGCUAUUUUAAACAAUUUUAUUUUUUAGCAGGAGAAAUCUCUUACCAGUGUUGGGACAAAAACAAAAAAAAAACUUGCCCUGAUUGAAGCAGCAGGAAAGGCUCUUGAGUCUAUCCCUGUGACUUUGGGGAGUCAUUUCAUUUUGCUUGGGCCUCUAUCUGUAACAUGGGAAUAAGAACUGCUCUUCUGAUCUCAUAGUUAAUUGGGGAAAAUGAGACAAGAUAUGUGGAAAGAUUUUGCAAACUCUAAAUUGAGGUACAAAUGUACAAAUUCAUACUCAGGCCUGGUGUCAACCCCUUCAUCACCUCUUCUGGUCCAGAAGUCAAGUCCUCCCAAAGGCAUUCCCAAAGCUCAUGGCCAUGGAAGGAAAAGAUGUCUGUUUCUCUCCAACCCAAAGCAUGGUAUGGGGCUGGUAGCCCCGGAAACCAGAGUCAGCAUCUUCCAGACCCAUGCAGAAUCUGGGGACAAGGAUUAUAUCUAUGACCUUCUCCAAAUUUCUGUAUUUGACUUGAGAUGGCACAGUAGAUGGCAAUGAAAUCACUUAGCAAGCAGGCAGUGGAGACUGCAACCUGAGGGGUGGCCCCACAUCUACAGAUCUGCAAUGGAGGGAAGCCUGAGGAGGGGACAGAAGAUAAAACAGCUUCUUUAUACAGAACUUUUAAUAGAAAGAAGAGCGACAACACAGCGCUGGCAUGUCAACAAAAGAACACUUUGAUAGCCAGUGAUCAAAAAUAAAAUCACCAGUUGUGAGACAUAUCAACAUUCGGUACCUCCUGAUACGAUGCGCUGAGAAAGACCCAGCAUUACUUCUGUGGUAUUUUUGCCAAGUAUACACAACCUCAGCCUAAAUCUUGAGGAGUCGUCAGACUAAUCCAAAUUGAAGGACGCUGUGAAAAACAAUUGGCCAAUAUUCGUCAGGGUGAUGUGAAGCCUGAGGAACUAUACAUUGGAGGAGAUUGAGAGGAUGUGUCAACUAACUGCAAUGCCAGAUCCUGGAUUUGCCCAGAAAAUAGGAGACAAAGAAGAAAUACUAUGGCUACGUCAACCUCGGAGGGUAGCCCUGAAGGCAAGAACUUGAGCUCAGCCAGGUAGGAGAAA